CGACUGACCCUGGAGCACAUGCAAGUGAGUAUGCAGACAUGAGUAACGUAAAGCCGGGUGAAAUCCCCGGCCGCCGUAAACCCGAGGUUUCCAGGGCAACGUGUUUCGUCCCUGGGUUAGCCGGGACCUAAGCCGAGGCCGAGAGGCGUAGGCGAUGGAUAUCAGGUUAAUAAUCCUGAGCUCGCGACCCUUAAACUGGGGGGACGCAUGAGAAAAGAUGACUAGGUUAUUGAAUUCCGAGUUGAGUCCACGGACUCAGCGCAUCAUUGGAUCGAGUGCCAAGAAAAGCCCCAGCGUAUGCUAAGCGACCCGUACCGCAAACCGACACAGGUGGGUGGGUAGAAUAUACCAAGGCGUAAGAGUGAAACCUGGUUAAGGAACUCGGCAAAUUAGCCCCGUAACUUCGGAAGAAGGGGUGCCUGCAGCGAUGCAGGCCGCAGAGAAAUGGCCCAACCGACUGUUUAUCAAAAACACAGCACUCUGCAAAGACGCAAGUCGAAGUAUAGGGUGUGACACGUGACCAAUGCCGAAAGAUUAAGGCAAGGGGUUAGCCGCAAGGCGAAGCUCUGAACCCAAGUCCCGGUGAAUGUCGGCCGUAACUAUAACGGUCCUAAGGUAGCGAAAUUCCUUGUCGGGUAAGUUCCGACCUGCACGAAUCGUGAAACGAGUUGGGCACUGUCUCAACCAGGCGCUCAGUGAAAUUGUAGUGGCGGUGAAGAUGCCGCCUACCCGCAGAAGGACGGAAAGACCCUAUAGACCUUAACUGUAAGCUGUCAUUGUUUCUUCGGUUUUAAUGCUCAGAGUAAGUGGGAGACGCUGAAGACGCCCUUUAGGGGGCGUCGGAGUCAUCAAUGAGACACCACCCUUUGAAACUGGAGGAUCUAACCCUGAGCCGUGAAUCCGGCCAGAGGACCGUGUCAGCCGGUCAGUUUUACUGGGGCGGUAUCCUCCCAAAGAGUAACGGAGGAGCGCGAAGGUGGGCUCAGCCCGGUUGGCAACCGGGUGUCGAGUGCAUGGGCAUAAGCCCGCCUAACUGUGAGACCAACAAGUCGAGCAGAUGCGAAAGCAGGCCCAAGUGAUCCGGCGGUAGAAAGUGGAAUUGCCGUCGCUCAACGGAUAAAAGGUACCUUAGGGAUAACAGGCUGAUCACGCCCAAGAGUUCAUAUCGACGGCGUGGUUUGGCACCUCGAUGUCGGCUCGUCGCAUCCUGGGGCUGGAGAAGGUCCCAAGGGUCCGGCUGUUCGCCGGUUAAAGCGGCACGCGAGCUGGGUUCAGAACGUCGCGAGACAGUUCGGUCCUCUAUCCUCUGUGGGCGUUGGAAAAUUGAGGGGUUCAGACCUUAGUACGAGAGGACCGGGUCUGACGCACCACUGGUGCAUCGGUUGUACUGUCAAGUGCAUGGCCGAGUAGCUAAGUGCGGACGGGAUAAGCGCUGAAAGCAUCUAAGCGCCAAGCCCAUCCCAAGAUGAGUUUUCCCUAUAGGUUCGUGGAAGACCACCACGUUGAUAGGUCGCAGGUGUAAGUGCAGCAAUGUAUUGAGCCAAGCGAUACUAAUCACCAAUAGACUUCAUC
rnacentral:rRNA from 1 species